GAAUUUAGCGCUAUGUUAAGCAAUCGUAAUUGGACUUAUGUAGAAGUCACAACUAUCCGAGGUCAGUCAAUAAUAAUGUUUGUGUUACUACAUGCUGGAGAAAUGAUAUGUAAAUCAUCCUCCUUAAGCUAUGCCACACAAGAAAAGAAAAAGAAAGGGGAUGAUCAAGCACAAAGGCUAUGAGGAUGGUCCAUUCCUUCAAUCCAUAUUUC
rnacentral:lncRNA from 1 species